GUUGGAAUCGUGUGCUGCAAAAUUUUAAAGUUGUAAAGUAAAACCCCCGUUCCUUACCAGUUCGGGGGUUUUACUUU
rnacentral:sRNA from 17 species